UGGCACGCACAUUUCGGAUUGGCUUGUCCUUUAAGGGAAAAAACUGCAGAGCAGUGGGCAGCUGAAGGGAAUCGGCUGCCGUGUUUUGGUUUGUUGCUUGUUUGGAUGUCGGGAGUGUUGGUGUCCUGGGAACCGUGGUUGGUGCUGCCCUGCCAGCUCUCCCAGUUGCAAACAACUUUUAGGACUUCGAUUCCUUAAGCUUAUGAUAAAACCAACUUGAGGUGUGUGGUACUGGAAAGCUGAUACUAACACCCUUGAAUCUGCAAGAUGCUGCUCUGCUUUUGAAAGAAGCGAAUGACUCACAUCACAUUACCUUCUGUAGCUGGUAGGAGGAGUGAGAAACUAGAUGAGUUCCUUAUGGCCCUCCUCUUCUACCUACCUUUUCACCUGAGAAAUUACCUGCCCUGGAAUUACCUGGAAAAGGAAUGCAGAUCCUUGAUUUUGGCGGGCAUCACUGGAGAUCAUUGUAGUAAGUUAAAAUCCUCCAGGAUUUUAACUCACAGUGGAGGAGAAGAGGAAGAGGAAGAACAAGAACGAGGAUGAGUGGUUCCUCUAUCCUGACAAAUGACCUCAGUUUGCCACUCUGAGAAGCCCCCAGAGGAAGGCUGAGCAGUGGGAGCACUGUGCUCUGAAGAGCAGUGGCAGAAGGUGACUGCAAUCAGACCAGCUCGCAGCAGUGGUGUCUGUGUGACAGCGUGGUUUCACUUUGCUCAGUAAAUCACUUUGAAAUUGCAGCUUAAGAUGCCCAACUCAUUUGUCAGAGCUGGGGGAGUUUGACACACAAGGGACUGGGCUGGGUGACUGGAGAUCUGGGCCGUAAUUCCUGGUCCUUCAUCUCAAUGCCUUCGUUGGGUCAUUUCUGAGAAGACUAUUUUCCUGGCUGAUUUUGAGAAGUGCUUUGGCACCUGCAGAUGAAUAUGAUUAUUGAUUUCAAUGUCAACCCUGUUUUUCUAAAGAGUUAGCAAAACAACCAGGAGACAUGACUUAGUACAGCCAAAAAAUUGGUGAAAUUUUGCUUCUGAAGGAAGCUACUCCAGAAUUUCCAAUAUAUUAUGUUCACUUAUUUUUUUAAAAUUUCCUUUCCUAUCUUUGACUUAUUUCCUUGGAUAGAAUUAACCUCAAUUAAUGACUGUUUUACCUAUAAAACUAUCUGUACCUGCCAACUAUUAAAAUGUUAGCAUGGAAAUUUUAGCAAGGAAAAUUUAGGAUGAAAUCCUGACUUGGUCAUAGCUGCUAAGAAUCAAUGGAAAAAUAAUGGAUGAUUAAACAGUGGAAGAAAAGCAGAGGUGUAAUAUUUCAUCAUUGCUAAGAGGAGAAAUUUGACAUAUUAGCGCCAGUUUGGAAGUUUUUCAUGAAAACAUAUCAAUGCUGGAUAAGAAUGAUACAAUUUUUUUACCACUGCAAUAUAUGGUUCUGUUUUUAAAAGGAUGAAAAUUUGCAGCACAAUUAUGAUGAGAAAUUUACCUCUUCUGGAGUAACCAAUAGACCAGGGACUAGAUCAGUUCUGUGGGAUGGCCAUGCACUGCCUUAUUGAGACAGACACUUGCAGUGCAGGUUCACAGCUAAUACUCAGUCUCCUCACUUAGACUGGCACAUGUGAUAUUAAUGCCUAAGUAGCAUUGUGGCCUAGGUUUGUUUUCCAUGUGUCAGGUGAGUCCUUUUACCAUUGGAUGAGGCUGUUGUGGCCUGCAGCUUCUCUUUAAGCUUUUCAUUAGACAUCCGUUCUGGUACGCAGCAAAAACAUUUAAAUAUAACCUCUUAGAAAUUUCAGGGGAUGGAAACCUUCUUCCAGAGAAGAAUAAAUAUAAAAGAUAUAUUUA